rnacentral:rRNA from 1 species
AGUGAACGCUGGCGGCGUGCCUAAUACAUGCAAGUCGAACGGAGUGGCGCACGGGUGAGUAAUGUAUAGCUAAUCUGCCCUCCACUAGAGGACAACAGUUGGAAACGACUGCUAAUACUCUAUAGUGUAGGAUGAGGCUAUAUUGUAUCAGCUAGUUGGUGAGGUAAUGGCUCACCAAGGCUAUGACGCAUAACUGGUCUGAGAGGAUGAUCAGUGACACUGGAACGGAGACACGGUCCAGAAUCCUACGGGAGGCAGCAGUAGGGGAUAUUGCUCAAUGGGGGAAACCAUGAAGCAGCAACGGCGGGUGGAGGAUGAUACUUUGCGGGGAGUAAACUCCUUUUGUUAGGGAAGCGGUACCUAAAGAAUAAGCAACGGCUAACUCCGUGCCAGCAGCCGCGGUAAUAC